UACGAAGGGGACUAGCGUUGUUCGGAAUUACUGGGCGUAAAGCGCACGUAGGCGGAUUUGUAAGUCAGGGGGUGAAAUCCCGGGGGCUCAACCCCCGGAACUGCCUUUGAUACUGCAAAUCUCGAGUCCGGAAGAGGUGAGUGGAAUUCCUAGUGUAGAGGUGAAAAUUCGUAGAUAUUAGGAAGAACACCAGUGGCGAAGGCGGCUCACUGGUCCGGUACUGACGCUGAGGUGCGAAAAGCGUGGGGGAGCAAACAGGG
rnacentral:rRNA from 1 species